rnacentral:rRNA from 1 species
AUUGAACGCUGGCGGCAUGCCUUACACAUGCAAGUCGAACGGCAGCACGGGAGCAAUCCUGGUGGCGAGUGGCGAACGGGUGAGUAAUAUAUCGGAACGUGCCCAGUCGUGGGGAUAACGUAGCGAAAGCUACGCUAAUACCGCAUACGAUCUAUGGAUGAAAGCGGGGGAUCGCAAGACCUCGCGCGAUUGGAGCGGCCGAUAUCAGAUUAGGUAGUUGGUGAGGUAAAGGCUCACCAAGCCGACGAUCUGUAGCUGGUCUGAGAGGACGACCAGCCACACUGGGACUGAGACACGGCCCAGACUCCUACGGGAGGCAGCAGUGGGGAAUCUUAGACAAUGGGCGCAAGCCUGAUCCAGCCAUGCCGCGUGUGUGAAGAAGGCCU